AACGAACGCUGGCGGCAGGCUUAACACAUGCAAGUCAAGCGCCCCGCAAGGGGAGCGGCAGACGGGUGAGUAACGCGUGGGAAUCUACCCAUCUCUACGGAAUAACGCAUGGAAACGUGUGCUAAUACCGUAUACGUCCUUCGGGAGAAAGAUUUAUCGGAGAUGGAUGAGCCCGCGUUGGAUUAGCUAGUUGGUGGGGUAAAGGCCUACCAAGGCGACGAUCCAUAGCUGGUCUGAGAGGAUGAUCAGCCAAACAGGGACUGAGACACGGCCCAGACUCCGACGGAAGGAAGCAGUGGGGAAUAUUGGACAAUGGGCGCAAGCCUGAGCCAGCCAUGCCGCGUGAGUGAUGAAGGCCCUAGGGUUGUAAAGCGCUUUCACCGGUGAAGAUAAUGACGGUAACCGGAGAAGAAGCCCCGGCUAACUUCGUGCCAGCCGCCGCAGUAAAAC
rnacentral:rRNA from 1 species